GAUGAACGCUGGCGGCGUGCCUAAUACAUGCAAGUCGAGCGAACGGACGAGAAGCUUGCUUCUCUGAUGUUAGCGGCGGACGGGUGAGUAGCACGUGGAUAACCUACCUAUAAGACUGGGAUAACUUCGGGAAACCGGAGCUAAUACCGGAUGAUAUUUUGAACCGCAUGGUUCAAAAGUGAAAGACGGUCUUGCUGUCACUUAUAGAUGGAUCCGCGCUGCAUUAGCUAGUUGGUAAGGUAACGGCUUACCAAGGCAACGAUGCAUAGCCGACCUGAGAGGGUGAUCGGCCACACUGGAACUGAGACACGGUCCAGACUCCUACGGGAGGCAGCAGUAGGGAAUCUUCCGCAAUGGGCGAAAGCCUGACGGAGCAACGCCGCGUGAGUGAUGAAGGUCUUCGGAUCGUAAAACUCUGUUAUUAGGGAAGAACAUAUGUGUAAGUAACUGUGCACAUCUUGACGGUACCUAAUCAGAAAGCCACGGCUAACUACGUGCCAGCAGCCGCGGUAAUACGUAGGUGGCAAGCGUUAUCCGGAAUUAUUGGGCGUAAAGCGCGCGUAGGCGGUUUUUUAAGUCUGAUGUGAAAGCCCACGGCUCAACCGUGGAGGGUCAUUGGAAACUGGAAAACUUGAGUGCAGAAGAGGAAAGUGGAAUUCCAUGUGUAGCGGUGAAAUGCGCAGAGAUAUGGAGGAACACCAGUGGCGAAGGCGACUUUCUGGUCUGUAACUGACGCUGAUGUGCGAAAGCGUGGGGAUCAAACAGGAUUAGAUACCCUGGUAGUCCACGCCGUAAACGAUGAGUGCUAAGUGUUAGGGGGUUUCCGCCCCUUAGUGCUGCAGCUAACGCAUUAAGCACUCCGCCUGGGGAGUACGACCGCAAGGUUGAAACUCAAAGGAAUUGACGGGGACCCGCACAAGCGGUGGAGCAUGUGGUUUAAUUCGAAGCAACGCGAAGAACCUUACCAAAUCUUGACAUCCUUUGACAACUCUAGAGAUAGAGCCUUCCCCUUCGGGGGACAAAGUGACAGGUGGUGCAUGGUUGUCGUCAGCUCGUGUCGUGAGAUGUUGGGUUAAGUCCCGCAACGAGCGCAACCCUUAAGCUUAGUUGCCAUCAUUAAGUUGGGCACUCUAAGUUGACUGCCGGUGACAAACCGGAGGAAGGUGGGGAUGACGUCAAAUCAUCAUGCCCCUUAUGAUUUGGGCUACACACGUGCUACAAUGGACAAUACAAAGGGCAGCGAAACCGCGAGGUCAAGCAAAUCCCAUAAAGUUGUUCUCAGUUCGGAUUGUAGUCUGCAACUCGACUACAUGAAGCUGGAAUCGCUAGUAAUCGUAGAUCAGCAUGCUACGGUGAAUACGUUCCCGGGUCU
rnacentral:rRNA from 1 species